AACGAAAACCCCAGAUCCACAUCCUGUUGAGCAGCGACGUCCUUGCUGUUUACUUCUAUGUGUCGCGCUGCACUGUCUCGCUAUUAGUAAAUAGUAAUAAUAGGUGAUCAUGUCUCUCAGAGACUACACCAAAUGGAAUACCAGAGCAUCGUUGCUGUACGCCUUAGGUGUAUGGACUAUGAUCGGAUCAGUCGGCAUUUAUAAAUACAUGGGUUAUGAUGUGGUGGAAGUUGUCAAACGGGAAGAGGAGCCCGAGAAUCCCAACAGGGUUGUCCACAGCACGCCUCACUCCAAAACGGUCAUCAUCUACAAGGAGAACUUUGUCCCCUACCACACAAGGAUCUACAACUUCUUCAAUGGAUCGGAUGGAAAGUAGCUGUCAAGGAGGAAUAUGGACUCUUAUUUGAAUAUAAUAACUCAUAUUGAGGGGGGUGCAGACGUGUACUGCACGCAGGAUGAACCAGGCGGUCUGUUGGAGAGCUGUCAUCCUGGAAAAAACGAAUUUAGAGUCAAGAAAAUGUGUCAUUUGUAAAUAAACCUUUGAGAAAAGAAAUGA